UGGGGAAUAUUGGACAAUGGGCGAAAGCCUGAUCCAGCCAUGCCGCGUGUGUGAAGAAGGUCUUCGGAUUGUAAAGCACUUUAAGUUGGGAGGAAGGGCAGUAAGCGAAUACCUUGCUGUUUUGACGUUACCGACAGAAUAAGCACCGGCUAACUCUGUGCCAGCAGCCGCGGUAAUACUGAGGGUGCAAGCGUUAAUCGGAAUUACUGGGCGUAAAGCGCGCGUAGGUGGUUCGUUAAGUUGAAUGUGAAAGCCCCGGGCUCAACCUGGGAACUGCAUCCAAAACUGGCGAGCUAGAGUAGGGCAGAGGGGGGUGGAAUUUCCUGUGUAGCGGUGAAAUGCGUAGAUAUAGGAAGGAACACCAGUGGCGAAGGCGACCACCUGGGCUCAUACUGACACUGAGGUGCGAAAGCGUGGGGAGCAAACAGG
rnacentral:rRNA from 1 species